rnacentral:rRNA from 1 species
GACGAACGCUGGCGGCGUGCUUAACACAUGCAAGUCGAACGGAAAGGCCCUGCUUUUGUGGGGUGCUCGAGUGGCGAACGGGUGAGUAACACGUGAGUAACCUGCCCUUGACUUUGGGAUAACUUCAGGAAACUGGGGCUAAUACCGGAUAGGAGCUCCUGCUGCAUGGUGGGGGUUGGAAAGUUUCGGCGGUUGGGGAUGGACUCGCGGCUUAUCAGCUUGUUGGUGGGGUAGUGGCUUACCAAGGCUUUGACGGGUAGCCGGCCUGAGAGGGUGACCGGCCACAUUGGGCCUGAGAUACGGCCCAGACUGCUACGGGAGGCAGCAGUGGGGAAUAUUGCACAGUGGGCGGAAGCCUGAUGCAGCAACGCCGCGUGCGGGAUGACGGCCUUCGGGUUGUAAACCGCUUUCGCCUGUGACGAAGCGUGAGUGACGGUAAUGGGUAAAGAAGCACCGGCUAACUACGUG